GAUGAACGCUGGCGGCGUGCCUAAUACAUGCAAGUCGAGCGAACGGACGAGAAGCUUGCUUUUCUGAUGUUAGCGGCGGACGGGUGAGUAACGCGUGGAUAACCUACCUAUAAGACUGGGAUAACUUCGGGAAACCGGAGCUAAUACCGGAUAAUAUUUUGAACCGCAUGGUUCAAAAGUGAAAGACGGUCUUGCUGUCACUUAUAGAUGGAUCCGCGCUGCAUUAGCUAGUUGGUAAGGUAACGGCUUACCAAGGCAACGAUGCAUAGCCGACCUGAGAGGGUGAUCGGCCACACUGGAACUGAGACACGGUCCAGACUCCUACGGGAGGCAGCAGUAGGGAAUCUUCCGCAAUGGGCGAAAGCCUGACGGAGCAACGCCGCGUGAGUGAUGAAGGUCUUCGGAUCGUAAAACUCUGUUAUUAGGGAAGAACAUAUGUGUAAGUAACUGUGCACAUCUUGACGGUACCUAAUCAGAAAGCCACGGCUAACUACGUGCCAGCAGCCGCGGUAAUACGUAGGUGGCAAGCGUUAUCCGGAAUUAUUGGGCGUAAAGCGCGCGUAGGCGGUUUUUUAAGUCUGAUGUGAAAGCCCACGGCUCAACCGUGGAGGGUCAUUGGAAACUGGAAAACUUGAGUGCAGAAGAGGAAAGUGGAAUUCCAUGUGUAGCGGUGAAAUGCGCAGAGAUGUGGAGGAACACCAGUGGCGAAGGCGACUUUCUGGUCUGUAACUGACGCUGAUGUGCGAAAGCGUGGGGAUCAAACAGGAUUAGAUACCCUGGUAGUCCACGCCGUAAACGAUGAGUGCUAAGUGUUAGGGGGUUUCCGCCCCUUAGUGCUGCAGCUAACGCAUUAAGCACUCCGCCUGGGGAGUACGACCGCAAGGUUGAAACUCAAAGGAAUUGACGGGGGCCCGCACAAGCGGUGGAGCAUGUGGUUUAAUUCGAAGCAACGCGAAGAACCUUACCAAAUCUUGACAUCCUUUGACAACUCUAGAGAUAGAGCCUUCCCCUUCGGGGGACAAAGUGACAGGUGGUGCAUGGUUGUCGUCAGCUCGUGUCGUGAGAUGUUGGGUUAAGUCCCGCAACGAGCGCAACCCUUAAGCUUAGUUGCCAUCAUUAAGUUGGGCACUCUAAGUUGACUGCCGGUGACAAACCGGAGGAAGGUGGGGAUGACGUCAAAUCAUCAUGCCCCUUAUGAUUUGGGCUACACACGUGCUACAAUGGACAAUACAAAGGGCAGCGAAACCGCGAGGUCAAGCAAAUCCCAUAAAGUUGUUCUCAGUUCGGAUUGUAGUCUGCAACUCGACUACAUGAAGCUGGAAUCGCUAGUAAUCGUAGAUCAGCAUGCUACGGUGAAUACGUUCCCGGGUCU
rnacentral:rRNA from 1 species